rnacentral:rRNA from 1 species
CAAGCCCUGGAAACGGGGUCUAAUACCGGAUAAUACCUUCCCUCGCAUGGGGGUGGGUUCAAAGCUCCGGCGGUGCAGGAUGAGCCCGCGGCCUAUCAGCUUGUUGGUGAGGUAGUGGCUCACCAAGGCGACGACGGGUAGCCGGCCUGAGAGGGCGACCGGCCACACUGGGACUGAGACACGGCCCAGACUCCUACGGGAGGCAGCAGUGGGGAAUAUUGCACAAUGGGCGAAAGCCUGAUGCAGCGACGCCGCGUGAGGGAUGACGGCCUUCGGGUUGUAAACCUCUUUCAGCAGGGAAGAAGCGAAAGUGACGGUACCUGCAGAAGAAGCGCCGGCUAACUACGUGCCAGCAGCCGCGGUAAUACGUAGGGCGCAAGCGUUGUCCGGAAUUAUUGGGCGUAAAGAGCUCGUAGGCGGUCUGUCGCGUCGGAUGUGAAAGCCCGGGGCUUAACCCCGGGUCUGCAUUCGAUACGGGCAGACUAGAGUGUGGUAGGGGAGAUCGGAAUUCCUGGUGUAGCGGUGAAAUGCGCAGAUAUCAGGAGGAACACCGGUGGCGAAGGCGGAUCUCUGGGCCAUUACUGACGCUGAGGAGCGAAAGCGUGGGGAGCGAACAGGAUUAGAUACCCUGGUAGUCCACGCCGUAAACGGUGGGAACUAGGUGUUGGCGACAUUCCACGUCGUCGGUGCCGCAGCUAACGCAUUAAGUUCCCCGCCUGGGGA